rnacentral:rRNA from 1 species
UCAGGACGAACGCUGGCGGCGUGCUUAACACAUGCAAGUCGAACGAUGAUGCUGCAACUUGUUGUGGUGGAUUAGUGGCGAACGGGUGAGUAACACGUGAGUAACCUGCCUUUCACUCUGGGAUAAGCCUUGGAAACGAGGUCUAAUACUGGAUAUUACUUCUUGCCGCAUGGUGGGGGGUGGAAAGCCUUCGGGUGGUGAAUGAUGGACUCGCGGACUAUCAGCUUGUUGGUGGGGUUGUGGCCUACCAAGGCAAUGACGGUUAGCCGGCCUGAGAGGGUGACCGGCCACAUUGGGACUGAGAUACGGCCCAAACUCCUACGGGAGGCAGCAGUGGGGAAUAUUGCACAAUGGGCGAAAGCCUGAUGCAGCGACGCCGCGUGGGGGAUGAAGGCCUUCGGGUUGUAAACUCCUUUCGCUCGUGACGAAGUCUCUUCGGGGGUGACGGUAGCGGGAGAAGAAGCACCGGCUAACUACGUGCCAGCAGCCGCGGUAAUACGUAGGGUGCGAGCGUUGUCCGGAAUUAUUGGGCGUAAAGAGCUUGUAGGCGGUUUGUCGCGUCUGCUGUGAAAGCCCGGGGCUUAACUCCGGGUCUGCAGUGGGUACGGGCAGGCUAGAGUGUGGUAGGGGAGACUGGAAUUCCUGGUGUAGCGGUGAAAUGCGCAGAUAUCAGGAGGAACACCGAUGGCGAAGGCAGGUCUCUGGGCCAUUACUGACGCUGAGAAGCGAAAGCAUGGGGAGCAAACAGGAUUAGAUACCCUGGUAGUCCAUGCCGUAAACGUUGGGCGCUAGGUGUGGGACUCAUUCCACGAGUUCCGUGCCGUAGCUAACGCAUUAAGCGCCCCGCCUGGGGAGUACGGCCGCAAGGCUAAAACUCAAAGGAAUUGACGGGGGCCCGCACAAGCGGCGGAGCAUGCGGAUUAAUUCGAUGCAACGCGAAGAACCUUACCAAGGCUUGACAUACACCAGAUCGCAGCAGAGAUGUUGUUUCCUUUUGGUUGGUGUACAGGUGGUGCAUGGUUGUCGUCAGCUCGUGUCGUGAGAUGUUGGGUUAAGUCCCGCAACGAGCGCAACCCUCGUUCUAUGUUGCCAGCACGUAAUGGUGGGGACUCAUAGGAGACUGCCGGGGUCAACUCGGAGGAAGGUGGGGAUGAGGUCAAAUCAUCAUGCCCCUUAUGUCUUGGGCUUCACGCAUGCUACAAUGGAUGGUACAGAGGGUUGCGAUACCGCGAGGUGGAGCGAAUCCCUUAAAGCCGUUCUCAGUUCGGAUUGGGGUCUGCAACUCGACCCCAUGAAGUCGGAGUCGCUAGUAAUCGCAGAUCAGCAACGCUGCGGUGAAUACGUUCCCGGGCCUUGUACACACCGCCCGUCAAGUCACGAAAGUUGGUAACACCCGAAGCCCACGGCCUAACCACGUAAGUGGAGGGAGUGGUCGAAUGGUGGGAUCGGCGAUUGGGACUAAGUCGUAACAAGGUAGCCGUACCGGAAGGUGC